CGAUGCCGAGCCCCAAACAACAAUGGCCGCAAAGGGAAGACAUCUGACGUGCUCUUCACUCCCGUUCAGUGUUGCCUAAUCUAUCGAUGUCGCUGUUUAUAGCAGUGUGAAGCACAGCAGUGUAACAUGCCAUUUUAUUCCCGCGUAUACAAAAAUGCAGGCCACGAACGUGUCAGGGAGGUGGUUGUGUCUGUUCAGUCUCAGUGUUGUUCCGUGAUUUCAGCUCCCAGUGUUAUUCCGUUUGGUGCCUCUAUUUACCAAGUUUAUUAAGUUUACAUUGAAAUAAAUUAAGUUUUCGUGAUGCAAGGGACAUUACGGAAUUGCGUUGCUCGACUGUUCAUCGGCGAUCAAGGCGAUCAACGAAAAAAUCUGCUGCUGCUCCAGAUAAUUAGUUUGUUUCCAUUACUUUGGCAAACGAGUAUAUUUUAAUAAUGAUAAUAAUUCUGGGGACGGCGGAAAAGAAAAUAAACCAUCGAUGCUACCAGAAAGCAGCCUUACGGAGAGUGAUGUCAUCGAGCUGAGAACAUUAUAUUUUUUACGAUCUUGCAUAAACUUUUAUCUAUUUUGAUAUAUUUUAAAAGAGAACUGAACAAAGCAGAAUAAUACGCAUAAAAGUUAGAAUGUCAGAGUGUAUCAAACAUGAAAAAAGUUGUAACGAAUUACAUAUACAUAU